UUAGUUAUUUAUUUAAAACCAGAAAUGCAACGAUCCAUAGAGGAGGGGCGGCCGUUGUUUACCCUCUGUGAGUCUAAGCUCACGGUUUGACCCUCGAGGGCUUGAGGGGAGGGGGGGGGGGCGGAUCUGAGUGAAUCUAAACAAACAGAAAAGAUCAUCUGAAAAGGUGGAGAUUAAUGUCAAGCUGCAAGUGUUUUACGAGAGGCUGAUCUGACUGUUGACGGCGAGUAUCUGCUCUCUCACCACGCCCGUUGAAUCCGGCUCAUGCGCAUCCUGCGAAUACCACAGUCUGGUAUCACAACUGACAAGAAAGUGACGGCGCGAAAGAAAAAAAAAGCCAUGCGGAUAGUUUUGCUUUUAUUUGCUCAGGAUUCUUUUCACGCUCUGAAUGGAUAAAGCUGCAAGACGAAAAAACACGGACAACCCCAUAGUAGUGAAGUCAAUCACAGGAAGCCUGCCGUGCUUUAUAUCACCUAUUUUACUUUAGAUGAACCAUACUUUACGACAUGAACAUAAUGUUGUUUUGAAGAAGACCUGAAAACAAGGAUUGAGACCAUAAACGUAUGUUUACAAUGUUUAUACUGAGGGAAUAAAUCAAGAGAGACGUCGAGGCAUUUUCUCAUCGACUUCUAUACAACCAGACUUGUUUUUGCAACCAGAGGAGACUAAUGGCAUUACAUGUCAUCGGCAGCAUUGAAGCUUUAAUACGUCUAACGUUGUUUUUUCAAAGCUGCACCAUUCCAGCAAAUGGAAAUAUUGCAAUAUGGAAAAGACACAUUGUUUUAGACACAUUGUUUUAGACACAUUGUUAGACACAUUGUGUUAGACACAUUGUUUUAGACACAUUGUUAGACACAUUGUGUUAGACACAUUGUUUUAGACAUUGUUUUAGACACAUUGUUUUAGACACAUUGUUUUCGAUACAUUGUUUUAGACACAUUGUUUUAGACACAUUGUUUUAGACACAUUGUUUUAGACACAUUGUUUUAGACACAUUGUGUUAGACACAUUGUGUGAGACACAUUGUUUUAGACACAUUGUGUGAGACACAUUGUUUUAGACACAUUUCCUGAAUCCUUUUAACCUAUGAAUAAAUAUAACAAACAUAUAGACAUGAUAUCAGUCUGACCCCCUCAGCCCACUGCAGUGGUCGGGCGUGCGGUCGGUACAUUUAGACCCGUGUCUGACCGCUCCGUCCGGGAAACAGAGGCUUACAGUCUGCAGGUUUACAUGGGAAGUGGACCUGGAUCCGACUAAGCCGCUUGUCCCGAGGUCCAAACAGGUGAAAUCCUUUAAGUCGGCCCAAUCACACGGGCGACGGUUCCCCGUCUGUCACCACUCUCCGGCUCAGGGCCGCGCAGUCGAGCCGAGUAAACAAAACGGGAGAGGAUCGAGUGCGAGGGGGAUGAGUCAUCAGUUGUGCGCUUUGCGUGCCUCAGUCUGCUGAACAUCCGCUCCCCCGAAGGCCCUUCGUCACCGCAGGCAUACUCCAGCAAUUACCUCCUCGCCCACACGCUGUCAGUCACACGGGCCAUAAUAACAGGCUGUCCCACUCCAGAACUCGCUCACCGGCACUCUCCACACACACACACACACACACACACACACACUGAAUAUUUUUACAGGUAUUGAACCCUGUAGGUUUUUUGUAUGGUUACAUUUAAGAGAUUGCGCAUCGGCUGUAUCGUAAACUGCUGACAAGAUAUUGUUUUCUUCUUUUACCAUUAAAAAAAUUCUUCAAUUAACAAAUGUAAAUGAAUUAUAUAUAGAAAUAUAUAUAUUAAAUUAUUUCAAUAAGUUCAAAUGAUUAACAUGAAUGUCUUCCCACAGAUACAGCUCCCCAACGCUGCAGAGGGACACAGUUAGCGACUAGCUGGUGGACAUAGUGGAGCUUUUAUCAGCUAAAAGGAAGAGUAAAUAUUGGACUUUCAACAUGUGCACACAAAUAUGACUCCAAAUGACGCCGCUCCAUGUCUGCUUGGACGUGUUGACGGGCAAACAUUUGCUCACACAUUUAGAAGGCAAUAUAUAUUAUGUCAACGUUGGCUUUAUGGCUUGUUGCACUGCCCUCCAGUGGACAAAAAGAACAUUUGUGAUGCGAUAUUAAGAAAUGUUUUCCGAAUUUUUCCGCACUGUCUCCUACGGAUGUCAAUCAUCAGUUAAUUUUCGCUCGAUACAUCCAUACAUCUUUUCAAAAUAAACGUCCUUCUCCACAGGAAACAACAUUACAUAUGUGGCUGCAUUCAUGUUACCUUGAAGACUUUAAUAUUGCCAUCCAUAAUGCUUUCAUAUUUCUCUUGAGAUUAAUACACAUGCUCAAACUGAUUAUGUAUUCACACCGCAGGUGACAUUAGGGGUGUGAAUAUUCUAGUCAACCUUUGUUCGUUAGCUAGGUGUUCGGUUUACAAUUUUGGUAUUUGGGAUAUUUGUUCGUCUCAAAUUAAAUCACAUAAAACAAAACAAAACUGCACUUCAUUCAGCUCUGAUUCGGCCCUCUUUCAUAGGAAUGUGGAGACACAGCCUGAUAUGUGGGAGUGCAACUUUAGUUGACCAGAAUACACAUAACUUCUUUUCCACGCCGACGCGACGUAUGUGGAAUUAAUUCUUCUCCAUCCCUGAACGUUAGCAUAGCGGGAAGGAUUCUUUCAAAAUGGUCAACUCACAAAAAUACAACAACGAUUUUCCUUAAAAAAACUCUGAUCCGUGCAGUUGAUACGUGAGCUCGACACAUCAGAGCUGGCAGUGUUGGCCUGUUAUUAUGCAAACAGAAUGCACUUAUUAUACGCCUCCAGACCCGCAAACCUCGAGCCCAACCAGCCAGUGGACAAACAGCCCUUUUGUGACAUUUGACUGUUUAUUUCUGGUUUUUUUCUUUCUUCUUCUUCUUUUCUUCUCCCAGACUCGUGGAAAAAAAACUGUGCGGGAUAACGCAGGCUCAGUGUUUACACGGCGUCUUGUUAUUGGUCUGCACUCCCACAGUCAGUUCCACCUGCCUGCGGGAAAAGAAGAUGCUGCGGUGUGUGACUGCGCUGCGGUAAUAAAAGGCCUCAUUCACAUCACAGCGCAUCCACACGGCUUCAGAGCCCCCCCCCCCCCCACACACACACAUACAAAUCCAGGUUGUACAAAAAUAAGUAGAAAGUGUCAAUGUGGCGACUCGAGGUGUGAGGAACCUGCUGACGCGACGCAUUUCCUUUUCUUUUAAUGGUCGCUCUCAUUCCUUCCCGCCCCGAUUCCAUCGUGACCCCCGAGGAAGAAGAAGUCCACCUCACGCGACGCCUCGUCCUCUCGCGCUCACGCAGCGCUCUCCAGGACGUCCACAGGCAACAUUGAGUCUUCGAAAAUCCCGCGGUGGGACCGAGCGCCUCCACGUCCUUCUGAGAACAAAGGCGCGCAGGACGCCGUCCCCCCAGUUCAGCGAGCAGGAGCACAUGUGCACACAAUACCUGGCCGAGGAAGGAAGGGAAGGUGACGUCACUCCUCCACAAUGAAAUGACUCACUGUUCCCCCAUUCGCCGCUCGACUUUAAAACACAGACGGCGACGAGAACAAGAAGGAAGCAAGAGGGAAAGAGUGCCUUUGUCGGCACAAUGCCGACGAUGAUUUCCAACCAGAAGCCGCGAGCUCUUCGACUGCGGGAACAGAUCGGCGGGUCGCGGUCAAGGCCUCGGCUACCGAAAGGCCGGACGCGGCUCACGUCAGCGAAUCGGCUUCAUUCAGAAGCAGCGGCCGUUCACACGGUCGGUGAAGUAGGUCGCGACAUCGUGACGAUUCACUUUGAUCCUGGAAAUCGAUACGCUAAAGGUUUACGAUUCUUUGUCUGAAUAACAGCUCCGAGGCUCCUCUUCGACCGGCUAAGACUGGAUGUUGAGCACCACCUGGUGGCCCAACGGAGGCACUGCGGCAGGGACAGGCAGAGUUGUGCUGUGCGGCCUAUACAC